GAUGAACGCUAGCGGCAGGCUUAAUACAUGCAAGUCGAGGGGUCAGCAAUGACACCGGCGGACGGGUGCGUAACGCGUAUGCAACCUACCUACAUCAGGGGGAUAGCCCUAGGAAACUGGGAUUAACACCGCAUAAUAGUAUUGAUGGCAUCAUUGAUAUUUGAAAUAUUUAUAGGAUGUAGAUGGGCAUGCGUAAGAUUAGCUAGUUGGUAAGGUAACGGCUUACCAAGGCUACGAUCUUUAGGGGCUCUGAGAGGAGUAUCCCCCACACUGGCACUGAGAUACGGGCCAGACUCCUACGGGAGGCAGCAGUAGGGAAUAUUGGGCAAUGGAGGCAACUCUGACCCAGCCAUGCCGCGUGCAGGAAGACGGCCCUCUGGGUUGUAAACUGCUUUUGAAUGGGAAGAAUGUGAUGUUUGCGAGCAUUAAUGACGGUACCAUUAGAAUAAGCCACGGCUAACUACGUGCCAGCAGCCGCCGUAAGAC
rnacentral:rRNA from 1 species